GCCACAGCCGUAUCACCCUGCCGCCCAAGAGCGGUCCCUCACUGAAGCUAAGCAGGGCUGAGCCUGGUCAGUGUCUGGAUGGGAGACCACAUGGGAACAGUAGGCUGCUGUUGGCA
rnacentral:rRNA from 1 species